GUGGGGAAUAUUGCGCAAUGGGCGAAAGCCUGACGCAGCCAUACCGCGUGUGUGAAGAAGGCCUUCGGGUUGUAAAGCACUUUCAGUGGGGAGGAAAAGCUGGUGGCUAAUAUCCAUCGGCCGUGACGCUACCCACAGAAGAAGCACCGGCUAAUUCCGUGCCAGCAGCCGCGGUAAUACGGAAGGUGCGAGCGUUAAUCGGAAUUACUGGGCGUAAAGCGCACGUAGGUGGCUUGGUAAGUCGGAUGUGAAAGCCCCGGGCUCAACCUGGGAACUGCAUUCGAUACUGCCGAGCUAGAGUACGAAAGAGGGGGGUGGAAUUCCAGGUGUAGCGGUGAAAUGCGUAGAGAUCUGGAGGAACACCAGUGGCGAAGGCGGCCCCCUGGUUCGAUACUGACGCUGAGGUGCGAAAGCGUGGGGAGCAAACAGGAUUAGAAACCCCAGUAGUCC
rnacentral:rRNA from 1 species